rnacentral:rRNA from 1 species
AUGAACGCUAGCGGGAGGCCUAACACAUGCAAGUCGAACGGGAUUGAGAGCUUGCUCUCAUGAGAGUGGCGCACGGGUGAGUAACGCGUAUGCAACCUGCCUUUAACUGAGGGAUAGCCCAUAGAAAUGUGGAUUAAUACCUCAUAGUUCUGAGUUACCGCAUGGUGAUUCAGAUAAAGCUCCGGCGGUUAAAGAUGGGCAUGCGUGACAUUAGCUAGUUGGUGAGGUAACGGCUCACCAAGGCUACGAUGUCUAGGGGUUCUGAGAGGAUGAUCCCCCACACUGGUACUGAGACACGGACCAGACUCCUACGGGAGGCAGCAGUGAGGAAUAUUGGUCAAUGGGCGCAAGCCUGAACCAGCCAUCCCGCGUGCAGGAUGACGGCCCUAUGGGUUGUAAACUGCUUUUAUACACCAAGAAAAAUCUCCACGUGUGGGGACCCGACGGUAGUGUAUGAAUAAGCAUCGGCUAACUCCGUG